rnacentral:rRNA from 1 species
GGACCCGCACAAGCGGUGGAGCAUGUGGUUUAAUUCGACGCAACGCGAAGAACCUUACCUGGAUUUGACAUCCUCUGACAUCCAUAGAAAUAUGGCUUUUUAUGCUUGCAUAAACAGAGUGACAGGUGCUGCAUGGCUGUCGUCAGCUCGUGUCGUGAGAUGUUGGGUUAAGUCCCGCAACGAGCGCAACCCUUGUUUUUAGUUGCCAUUAUUAAGUUAGGCACUCUAAAAAUACUGCCUCGGUUAACGGGGAGGAAGGUGGGGAUGACGUCAAGUCCUCAUGGCCUUUAUAUCCAGGGCUACACACGUGCUACAAUGGGCUGUACAAAGAGUUGCCACUUCGCGAGAAGGAGCUAAUCUCAAAAAGCAGUUCUCAGUUCGGAUUGAAGUCUGCAACCCGACUUCAUGAAGUUGGAAUCGCUAGUAAUCGUGGAUCAGCAUGCCACGGUGAAUACGUUCCCGGGUCUU